AACGAACGCUGGCGGCAUGCCUAACACAUGCAAGUCGAACGAGACCUCCGGGUCUUUGGGCGCACGGCGGCGUAACGCGUGGGAAGCGGCCCUUGGGUUCGGAAUAACUCCCCGAAAGGGGUGCUAAUACCGGAUAAGGUCUUCUGACCAAAGAUCUAUUGCCUUUGGAUGGGCCCUCGUUGGAUUCGCUAGUUGGUAGGGUAAAAGCCUCCUAAGGGGACGAUCCAUAGCUGGUCUGAGAGAAUGGUCAGCCACACUGGGACUGAGACACGGCCUAGAAUCCUACGCGAGGGAGGAGAGGGUGACAUUGGAGGCGGGGGGAAGGGCUGAUCCAGCAAUGCCCGGUAAGUGAUGAUGGCCGUAGGGAUGUAAAGCUCUUUUACCCGGGAUGAUAAUGACGGUACCGGGUGAAUAAGCCCCGGCUAACUACGUG
rnacentral:rRNA from 1 species